rnacentral:tRNA from 4 species
CAGUAAGUAUUUUAAUAAAAAUAUUAGUUUUGGAUACUAAAGAUGAUUUUUUCUUUACUGA